UCCUCAGUAGCUCAGUGGUAGAGCAACCGGCUGUUAACCGGUUAGUCGUAGGUUCAAGCCCUACCUGGGGAG
rnacentral:tRNA from 1 species